UGCAAGGUGAACCCGGGUAGUCUGGCUCCAAAGAAUGUGAUCUUCAUCACAAAGCUAUACUUUCUCUGUUUGGGCAAUACUGCUGCUGGUUAGGCUCUUGAAACCCCUUCGUAAGUUCCUCCCCUGAUUUGUUAAGACCUCUCCUACUCGUGCUUCCUUACCCUAAUGUCUCUAAAGGCCUACAGCUCUGGGGCCAUGUAGGAAUGUGUGAAUAAAAAAUCAUCUGAUGAACUUUUUGAAAAUAUCUGCACUCCCACCCAUCCACCCCUACGGAAGCCUGAAAAGGAUGCAAUAAAGGAUACAGAUGAACAGCCAAAGGAAAAGGUACACA